GUCUCAUUCAUCUCUAUAAGUUGAUGGAUUUAUUGGGCUUUCUGUUUCACCCUGGGGCACAAGGCUGGAAAGCAGGAGAGCUGGACCACAUUUCAUGCUGCUCAGACUAGGUAGUCCAUGUUCUAGAAGCAGCAACAGCUCAGCAGAUGCUACUCGUCAGGAGACUAAGCUUCGUGCCUUAGUCCCACACACACUAAUUCUGUCAAUCAUAUAGAUGUAAGUAAUCCAGAUUAAAUAUUUUUUUACUUUGUUGUUUUGUCUUAGGUUUGGGUUUUAUUUUUUGUUUGUUUUUGUUUUUAAUACUGGGGAUUAGACCCAUAAGUGCUUAGCUACUGAGCUAUACAUCCCCAGCCCUUUGUAAAUAUUUUAUGUAGAGACAGGGUCUUGAUAAGUUGCAUUGGACCUUGCUAAGUUCCUGAGCCUGGCUUUGAACUCAGGAUUCUCCUGCCUCAGCCUCCCCAGCCUCUGGGAUGACAAGCUUGCAUCUCCACACCCAGAUUUUUGUUGCUUUUAAGGGCAAAAAGCAAAGUAUUAUUAGUUCUCAGGCUGAAUUCUCUCUCCUUCCUGCUUUUAAAGUUACAAAAUAAAAUUCUGUUUUCCUGGUAUUUGAGCUGCUUAGAAUGUCUCAAGAGACUGUUUGCUCUGUGGUAAGACUGCCUUCUGUGCAUGAGAUGCUCUUCGAGAAAAUCCAGUAGCCAAAUAAUUACUAUCAAAUGAGACAAAUUGAGUGCAAUCAUUCAUGUUAUAAAUGGCUCCUUACUUAUGAAUCCUUGGCCAUAGGAUUCCUUUGAAUAGAAAAACUAACUAUUCUAAAGCUUUUCCAAUAGAAUUCAAUAGAGCAAA
rnacentral:lncRNA from 1 species